AUUGUAUGAACAGUUCCAAUAAUGUAGUAUAUCAACUUAAUGUAUAUUAUAAGUUGCUGUGAUGUUGAAAUUUCAAUAAAAAAUAGUAUUUGUA